CGUCGACGGGUAGCCGGCCUGAGAGGGUGACCGGCCACACUGGGACUGAGACACGGCCCAGACUCCUACGGGAGGCAGCAGUGGGGAAUAUUGCACAAUGGGCGCAAGCCUGAUCGAGCAACGCCGCGUGAGGGAUGACGGCCUUCGGGUUGUAAACCUCUUUUAGCAGGGAAGAAGCGAAAGUGACGGUACCUGCAGAAAAAGCGCCGGCUAACUACGUGCCAGCAGCCGCGGUAAUACGUAGGGCGCAAGCGUUAUCCGGAAUUAUUGGGCGUAAAGAGCUCGUAGGCGGUUUGUCGCGUCUCUGUGAAAUCCCGAGGCUCAACUUCGGGUCUGCAGUGGGUACGGGCAGACUAGAGUGCGGUAGGGGAGAUUGGAAUUCCUGGUGUAGCGGUGGAAUGCGCAGAUAUCAGGAGGAACACCGAUGGCGAAGGCAGAUCUCUGGGCCGUAACUGACGCUGAGGAGCGAAAGGGUGGGGAGCAAACAGGCUUAGAUACCCUGGUAGUCCACCCCGUAAACGUUGGGAACUAGUUGUGGGGUCCAUUCCACGGAUUCCGUGACGCAGCUAACGCAUUAAGUUCCCCGCCUGGGGAGUACGGCCGCAAGGCUAAAACUCAAAGGAAUUGACGGGGACCCGCACAAGCGGCGGAGCAUGCGGAUUAAUUCGAUGCAACGCGAAGAACCUUACCAAGGCUUGACAUAUACGAGAACGCUGCAGAAAUGUAGAACUCUUUGGACACUCGUAAACAGGUGGUGCAUGGUUGUCGUCAGCUCGUGUCGUGAGAUGUUGGGUUAAGUCCCGCAACGAGCGCAACCCUCGUUCUAUGUUGACAGCACGUAAUGGUGGGAACUCAUGGGAUACUGCCGGGGUCAACUCGGAGGAAGGUGGGGAUGACGUCAAAUCAUCAUGCCCCUUAUGUCUUGGGCUUCACGCAUGCUACAAUGGCCGGUACAAAGGGCUGCAAUACCGUGAGGUGGAGCGAAUCCCAAAAAGCCGGUCCCAGUUCGGAUUGAGGUCUGCAACUCGACCUCAUGAAGUCGGAGUCGCUAGUAAUCGCAGAUCAGCAACGCUGCGGUGAAUACGUUCCCGGGUCUUGUA
rnacentral:rRNA from 1 species